UGGCCCGUUCGUCUAUCGGUUAGGACGCAAGAUUUUCAUUCUUGAAAGGGGGGUUCGAUUCCCCCACGGGCUACAAG
rnacentral:tRNA from 3 species